rnacentral:rRNA from 1 species
GAAAUCGGGAUUAAUACCCCAUAGAAUGCACGAAUCACAUGGUUUGUGUAUUAAAGCUCCGGCGGUUGGAGAUGGGCAUGCGUAACAUUAGCUUGUUGGUGAGGUAACGGCUCACCAAGGCAACGAUGUUUAGGGGUCCUGAGAGGGUGAUCCCCCACACUGGUACUGAGACACGGACCAGACUCCUACGGGAGGCAGCAGUAGGGAAUAUUGGGCAAUGGACGCAAGUCUGACCCAGCCAUGCCGCGUGCAGGAUUGACGGCCCUAUGGGUUGUAAACUGCUUUUCUGCAGGAAGAACUCCCCCUACGUGUAGGGGGCUGACGGUACUGCAGGAAUAAGCAUCGGCUAACUCCGUGCCAGCAGCCGCGGUAAUACGGAGGAUGCAAGCGUUAUCCGGAUUUAUUGGGUUUAAAGGGUGCGCAGGCGGACUAAUAAGUCAGAGGUGAAAUCCUACAGCUUUAACUGUAGAACUGCCUUUGAUACUGUUAGUCUUGAGUGCAGUUGAGGUAGGCGGAAUGUGUCAUGUAGCGGUGAAAUGCUUAGAUAUGACACA